rnacentral:rRNA from 1 species
CCUACGGGUGGCAGCAGUGAGGAAUAUUGGUCAAUGGACGCAAGUCUGAACCAGCCAUGCCGCGUGCAGGAUGACUGCCCUAUGAGUUGUAAACUUCUUUUAUAAGAGGGUAAAACGAGACACGUGUGUCUGUUUGAAUGUACUGUAUGAAUAAGGAUCGGCUAACUCCGUGCCAGCAGCCGCGGUAAUACGGAGGAUCCAAGCGUUAUCCGGAUUUAUUGGGUUUAAAGGGUGCGUAGAUGGUUUGUUAAGUUAGUGGUGAAAGUUCGCGGCUCAACUUUGAAAUUGCAUUUGAUACUGUUCGUCUUGAGAACAGUUGCGGUAAGCGGAAUUUGUGGUGUAGCGGUGAAAUGCUUAGAGAUCAUGCAGAACACCGAUUGCGAAGGCAGCUUACCAAGCU